GAGAAAGAGAGAGAGAAACUAAUUUGAAUUCGACACAAGAGAGAGAAAAAUAUAAGCAAACGUUUUCUUUGCGUCGACAAGUAAUACUUAUAUUGCGAAUGACGGUUGUUCUUUGAUUCAAUGAGAGGUAUGUAUGCUCGCAAAUAAAAGAAGUAACAUAAACUAUAGUAACACAGAGAAAUGAAGAAACUCAUCAUAAAAGAAACGAUCGACGAGUAACAGGAGAAGUAACAAGAACAGUGCCGGUAGACAGCCAGCUGUAGAAGACGCGCACAGCCCUGAUUUUCGCGAAACACCCAAGGAAGCGCAUCAAGCCAAACGGAGAGUCUUGUCAGCGCGUUGCAUGCGUUUUCAAACACUUCCCGGUCCACGGUGUUACGCAAUAUUCCACGUAAAUACAUAACACAUUUUCCCGAAUAGCGUACUGACGAGAGAUAUUGGUUUUGUGUGUCGCCUUCUCUCUCUCUCUCUCUCUCUCUCUCUCUCUCUCUCUCUCUCUCUCUCUCUCUCUCUCUCUCUCUCUCUCUCUCUCUCU